CCCUGACCGCGUAUGAAAGUACGUUUUCACCCUCGGGUGACAGGGAGACAGGUGGUGCAUGGUUGUCGUCAGGCUCGUGUCGUGAGAUGUUGGGUUAAGUCCCGCAACGAGCGCAACCCCUACGUUUAGUUGCUAACGCGUGAAGGCGAGCACUCUAGACGAACUGCCGUUGACAAAACGGAGGAAGGUGGGAUGACGUCAAAUCAUCAUGCCCCUUAUGUUCUGGGCUACACACGUGCUACAAUGGCCGGUACAGACGGACGCAAAGCCGCGAGGUGGAGCAAAUCCUAAAAAGCCGGUCUCAGUUCGGAUUGCAGGCUGCAAUUCGCCUGCAUGAAGUCGGAAUCGCUAGUAAUCGCAGGUCAGCAUACUGCGGUGAAUACGUUCCCGGGCCUU
rnacentral:rRNA from 1 species